GUCAUAUGCUUGUCUCAAAGAUUAAGCCAUGCAUGUCUCAGUACAAGCCAAAUUAAGGUGAAACCGCGAAAGGCUCAUUAAAUCAGUUAUGGUUCCUUAGAUCGUACCCACAAUUACUUGGAUAACUGUGGUAAUUCUAGAGCUAAUACAUGCAAACAGAGCUCCGACCGGAGACGGAAGGAGUGCUUUUAUUAGAUCAAAACCAAUCGGUGGCGAGUUCGCUCGUUAUCGUACAACUUGGUGACUCUGAAUAACUUUACGCUGAUCGCACGGUCAUCGCACCGGCGACGCAUCUUUCAAAUGUCUGCCUUAUCAACUGUCGAUGGUAGGUUCUGCGCCUACCAUGGUUGUAACGGGUAACGGGGAAUCAGGGUUCGAUUCCGGAGAGGGAGCCUGAGAAACGGCUACCACAUCCAAGGAAGGCAGCAGGCGCGCAAAUUACCCACUCCCGGCACGGGGAGGUAGUGACRAAAAAUAACGAUACGGGACUCAUCCRAGGCCCCGUAAUCGGAAUGAGUACACUCUAAACCCUUUAACGAGGAUCAAUUGGAGGGCAAGUCUGGUGCCAGCAGCCGCGG
rnacentral:rRNA from 1 species